AACACAAAAGUUGCUGAAUUUGAUUAGUUGAAAGAACAAUUUGCUUUUAUUAUGGCUAAUAUGAAAGGAAACCAUAUUAUUUGAAUCCAUUUCAUACAUAUGAUGAAGGGAAUCUUACAUGGCUGGUUUUUGCAGAAAAAUCAAAGCACCUUUUUUCUCUCAUCAUAUAGGGUAAAAGUCUCGGAAGGAAAAGGCAAGGGGAAGGAUCAAUGAGACACUGUUGAUUCCUAGUCUUCCUCAUCUAUAUUGUAUUCUUAAUGAUUUCUAUGUAUCUCUCCCUUGAAUAAUAACACAUUCAUUCUUUUAUUUUUCAACUUUACGCAAUAUUUGCAAAUCAAAACAUUUGAUGGCUCAUACACAUAUCCCGACCAUCAUGUGAAUGUCUCGGAUAAGUAAAAUCAAGUGAUAGUGAGGGAACGGCUUUUCCCAACACAUUUAUGUUUCCA